rnacentral:rRNA from 1 species
GAUGAACGCUGGCGGCAUGGAUUAGGCAUGCAAGUUGAACGAACCACUUCGGUGGAGAGUAGCGGAAGGGUGAGGAACGCGUGAGUAAUCUGCCCCCAAGUUGGGAGUAACAGCUGGAAACGGCUGCUAAUACCGAAUGUGGCUUUACCUCUGCAUGGAGGUUUGGCUAAAGAUUUAUCGCUUGGGGAUGAGCUCGCGUCCCAUUAGGUAGUUGGUGAGGUAACGGCCCACCAAGCCGAUGAUGGGUAGCUGGUCUGAGAGGAUGGUCAGCCACACUGGGACUGAGACACUGCCCCAGACUCCUACGGGAGGCUGCAGUCGAGAAUCUUGGGCAAUGCGCGAAAGCGUGACCCCAGCAAUGCCGCGUGUGUGAUGAAGG